rnacentral:rRNA from 1 species
ACGGAAGGCAGCAGUGGGGAAUAUUGGACAAUGGGGGAAACCCUGAUCCAGCGACGCCGCGUGAGUGAAGAAGUAUUUCGGUAUGUAAAGCUCUAUCAGCAGGGAAGAUAAUGACGGUACCUGACUAAGAAGCCCCGGCUAACUACGUGCCAGCAGCCGCGGUAAUACGUAGGGGGCAAGCGUUAUCCGGAUUUACUGGGUGUAAAGGGAGCGCAGACGGCAUUGCGAGUCUGAAGUGAAAUCCCGGGGCUCAACCCCGGAACUGCAUUUGAAACUGUAGCCCUUGAGUAUCGGAGAGGCAAGCGGAAUUCCUAGUGUAGCGGUGAAAUGCGUAGAUAUUAGGAGGAACACCAGUGGCGAAGGCGGCUUGCUGGACGACAACUGACGCUGAGGCGCGAAAGCGUGGGGAGCAAACAGGAUUAGAUACCCUGGUA